UACGCAAGAUAUUACGUAAAGUCAAUGCACAUUAUAGUUCAUCGACAUUGCUCUUUCAGAAAAUUUUACUCUUCCUUUCCCCUUUCUCAAUAAAUAUUCGAAUAGGAAACUAGCUCUUUUAAAUGCAGUACGUUUAUCAUAGACGAGGUACUUAAUGUGACGUUUCAGUAGCAAACAAUGUGAACAAUUCAACAGCGUUUCAAUAAAUUGUUAUAAAAAAGAAAAAUGUCUUCGCAUACUGAACCGAUUGUCGAAGAAUUAGCUAAGGACUAUACAAAUUAUUUAAAAGUAGAUUUAUCUACUCACAUGAAGAUUUUCUAUGAUACGAUCGAAGAUGUAAUGAUGCGUUUAGAAGAAUUUCAAUCAAUUAUUGAAAUGGUUCAAGCUGAAAAUAGCCAAUGUAUUGAUCAACAUAUUCCAAAAUUACAAGAUAUGCAACAAGAAAUCACAAAUCUUAACAAACGAGUAGAUGCUUUAGAACAUGUUAUAGCAAUGAUUAAUGUAAAUCUAACAACAUUAGAAGCUGCUGUUGAUAAUGCAGAAGCUGAACUAGGAAUAUCUGAUAGACUAUUUGGGAUGUUAAAUCGUUUAUCUUUUUUUAAGAAAACUCAAGAACCUGUGGUAUCAAAUAAAUCGUCAGUGUAUGAACCUCCAACGAUUUACAGAACUAAUGACUACUUUAAGAGUGAAUAAUAAAUAAUUUCCAUGAGAAAUAAUAGAUUUGUCAAUUAUUUUCGUACAUUAAUAUAUGGUACACAUUGAAGAAAUAUUUAAGAGAGCUGACAUAAAAUGUUAUAAACUGAAUAAAUAAAUGAAUCGAAUAAAACAAUAGGUUCAAUUUAUAUUGACUGAAUAAUAUUAAAAAACUU